UGGGGAAUAUUGCACAAUGGGCGGAAGCCUGAUGCAGCGACGCCGCGUGAGGGAUGACGGCCUUCGGGUUGUAAACCUCUUUCACCUACGACGAAGCGUGAGUGACGGUAGUAGGAGAAGAAGCACCGGCCAACUACGUGCCAGCAGCCGCGGUAAUACGUAGGGUGCGAGCGUUGUCCGGAAUUACUGGGCGUAAAGAGCUCGUAGGCGGUUUGUCACGUCGACUGUGAAAUCCCAUGGCUCAACUGUGGGCGUGCAGUCGAUACGGGCAGACUUGAGUACUGCAGGGGAGACUGGAAUUCCUGGUGUAGCGGUGAAAUGCGCAGAUAUCAGGAGGAACACCGGUGGCGAAGGCGGGUCUCUGGGCAGUAACUGACGCUGAGGAGCGAAAGCAUGGGUAGCGAACA
rnacentral:rRNA from 1 species